rnacentral:rRNA from 1 species
UACGUAGGGUGCGAGCGUUGUCCGGAAUUACUGGGCGUAAAGAGCUCGUAGGCGGUUUGUCGCGUCGUCUGUGAAAUUCUGCAACUCAAUUGCAGGCGUGCAGGCGAUACGGGCAGACUUGAGUACUACAGGGGAGACUGGAAUUCCUGGUGUAGCGGUGAAAUGCGCAGAUAUCAGGAGGAACACCGGUGGCGAAGGCGGCGAUCUGGGAAGAUACUGACGCUGAGGUGCGAAAGCGUGGGGAGCAAACAGG